ACUCAAAGGAAUAGACGGGGGCCCGCACAAGCGGAGGAACAUGUGGUUUAAUUCGAUGAUACGCGAGGAACCUUACCCGGGCUCGAACGGCGGAUGAAUGUAUAAGAGAUUAUACAGUCAGCAAUGACAUCUGUCGAGGUGCUGCAUGGUUGUCGUCAGCUCGUGCCGUGAGGUGUCGGCUUAAGUGCCAUAACGAGCGCAACCCUUGUCGUUAGUUGCCAGCAGGUAAAGCUGGGGACUCUAGCGAGACUGCCACCGUAAGGUGCGAGGAAGGGGGGGAUGACGUCAAAUCAGCACGGCCCUUACGUCCGGGGCGACACACGUGUUACAAUGGGUGGUACAGAGUGUAGCUACUAUGAGAAUAGAUGCCAAUCUUGAAAACCACUCUCAGUUCGGAUUGGAGUCUGCAACCCGACUCCAUGAAGUUGGAUUCGCUAGUAAUCGCGCAUCAGCCAUGGCGCGGUGAAUACGUUCCCGGGCCUUGUACACACCGCCCGU
rnacentral:rRNA from 1 species